rnacentral:misc_RNA from 1 species
GGUGGAUCCCACUUUUGAGGUUCUGAUCUGGUUGGAUAGCCAAGGCGGAACAAUAUUUUGAUAUCCAUGCUACUCGUGAUGACCUUAAGGUCACAUUAGCCAUGGUCAGUAUAAAGGGUCCUCCUUUGCAUUNNNNNNNNNCGUCAGUGCAACUUGUAGCUAACUUGGGCUCAAUUAACGUUAGAAUUGUUUCAACAUUAUGGUGGAGAGAUGAUUGAUAGCCCUUUUGAACAUUUGGCUACUUUACAGCCAGUGUUGUUAAAGGCGUCAUAGGCGCUAGGAGAGGAGACCCUCUAGCGCCUCGCCUGGCACUGCCUUGCCUAGCUUUGAAGAGGCGGCCGCUCCAACAACAAAGGCGAGGGGCAUUGAGGCAUUGAGGCGAUGCCUUUUGAAAGGAGCAAUAAUUUUUUUUUCUUU